GCAAACGUUGCUCGGAAUCAUUGGGCGUAAAGCGCGCGUAGGCGGUUACUUAAGUCGGAUGUGAAAGCCCUCGGCUUAACUGAGGAAGUGCAUCCGAAACUGAGUAGCUAGAGUACGAAAGAGGGUCGCGGAAUUCCCGGUGUAGAGGUGAAAUUCGUAGAUAUCGGGAGGAACACCGGUGGCGAAGGCGGCGACCUGGGUCGAGACUGACGCUGAGGCGCGAAAGCGUGGGGAGCAAACAGG
rnacentral:rRNA from 1 species